GAUCAGACCACACUGGGACUUUGAGACACUUGGCCCAGACUCCUACGGGAGGCAGCAGUGGGAAGAAUUUUGGAUCAAUGGGGGCAACCCUGAUCCAGCCAUUCCGCGUGAGUGAAGAAAGGCCUUUCGGGUUGUUAAAGCUCUUUUGUUCGGGACGAAACGGUUAAGGCUAAAUAACACUUCGACUUACCUGACGGUACCGGAAGAAUAAGCACCGGCUAACUACGUGAAACCAGCGACGCGCGCGGUAAUACGUAGGGUGCGAGCGUUAAUCGGAAUUACUAAGGGCAGUAGACGAGGCGUGCGCAGGCGGUUUUAUAAGCCAGAUGCGAAAGCACCCGGGCUCAAAGCCGUGGGAAUGGCAUUUGGGACUGUAAGGCUGGAGUAUAGGCAGAGGAGACUAAGAGAUUCCUGGUGUAGCAGUGAAAUGCGUAGAUGCC
rnacentral:rRNA from 1 species